GACAGAGGGGGCAAGCGUUGCUCGGAAUUACUGGGCGUAAAGGGCGUGUAGGCGGGAUGGCAAGUCGGUCGUGAAAUCCUUCGGCUCAACCGAAGAACGUCGAUCGAUACUGCCGUUCUUGAGGGUUGCAGAGGAGACUGGAAUUCCCGGUGUAGCGGUGAAAUGUGUAGAGAUCGGGAGGAACAGCGGUGGCGAAGGCGGCUCUCUGGACCACAACUGACGCUGAUGCGCGAAAGCUAGGGGAGCAAACAGG
rnacentral:rRNA from 1 species